UGGCCUACGGGUGGCAGCAGUGGGGAAUAUUGGACAAUGGGCGAAAGCCUGAUCCAGCCAUGCCGCGUGAGUGAUGAAGGCCCUAGGGUUGUAAAGCUCUUUCAACGGUGAAGAUAAUGACGGUAACCGUAGAAGAAGCCCCGGCUAACUUCGUGCCAGCAGCCGCGGUAAUACGAAGGGGGCUAGCGUUGUUCGGAAUUACUGGGCGUAAAGCGCACGUAGGCGGAUUGUUAAGUGAGGGGUGAAAUCCCAGGGCUCAACCCUGGAACUGCCUUUCAUACUGGUGAUCUAGAGUCCGGAAGAGGUGAGUGGAAUUCCGAGUGUAGAGGUGAAAUUCGUAGAUAUUCGGAGGAACACCAGUGGCGAAGGCGGCUCACUGGUCCGGUACUGACGCUGAGGUGCGAAAGCGUGGGGAGCAAACAGGAUUAGAUACCCUAGUAGUCCU
rnacentral:rRNA from 1 species